rnacentral:rRNA from 1 species
UACGUAGGUGGCAAGCGUUGUCCGGAUUUAUUGGGUUUAAAGGGUGCGUAGGCGGUCUUAUAAGUCAGUGGUGAAAUACGGCAGCUCAACUGUCGAGGUGCCAUUGAUACUGAUGACCUUGAGUACAUUUGAAGUGGGCGGAAUAUGUCAUGUAGAGGUGAAAUUCUUAGAGAUGACAUAGAACACCGAUUGCGAAGGCAGCUCACUAAACUGUAACUGACGCUGAGGCACGAAAGCGUGGGGAGCAGACAGG